rnacentral:rRNA from 1 species
AUUGAACGCUGGCGGCAUGCCUUACACAUGCAAGUCGAACGGUAACAGGUCUUCGGAUGCUGACGAGUGGCGAACGGGUGAGUAAUACAUCGGAACGUGCCCAGACGUGGGGGAUAACGAGGCGAAAGCUUUGCUAAUACCGCAUACGAUCUAAGGAUGAAAGCAGGGGACCGCAAGGCCUGUGCGUUUGGAGCGGCCGAUGGCAGAUUAGGUAGUUGGUGGGAUAAAAGCUUACCAAGCCGACGAUCUGUAGCUGGUCUGAGAGGACGACCAGCCACACUGGGACUGAGACACGGCCCAGACUCCUACGGGAGGCAGCAGUGGGGAAUUUUGGACAAUGGGCGAAAGCCUGAUCCAGCAAUGCCGCGUGCAGGAUGAAGGCCUUCGGGUUGUAAACUGCUUUUGUACGGAACGAAAAGGCUCUGGCUAAUACCUGGGGCACAUGACGGUACCGGAAGAAUAAGCACCGGCUAACUACGUG